rnacentral:rRNA from 1 species
AUUGAACGCUGGCGGCAGGCCUAACACAUGCAAGUCGAGCGGAUGAAGGGAGCUUGCUCCUGGAUUCAGCGGCGGACGGGUGAGUAAUGCCUAGGAAUCUGCCUGGUAGUGGGGGAUAACGUCCGGAAACGGGCGCUAAUACCGCAUACGUCCUGAGGGAGAAAGUGGGGGAUCUUCGGACCUCACGCUAUCAGAUGAGCCUAGGUCGGAUUAGCUAGUUGGCGGGGUAAAGGCCUACCAAGGCGACGAUCCGUAACUGGUCUGAGAGGAUGAUCAGUCACACUGGGACUGAGACACGGUCCAGACUCCUACGGGAGGCAGCAGUGGGGAAUAUUGGACAAUGGGCGAAAGCCUGAUCCAGCCAUGCCGCGUGUGUGAAGAAGGUCUUCGGAUUGUAAAGCACUUUAAGUUGGGAGGAAGGGCAGUAAGUUAAUACCUUGCUGUUUUGACGUUACCAACAGAAUAAGCACCGGCUAACUUCGUG